rnacentral:misc_RNA from 1 species
UUUCAGCUUCUGAAGCAUGUAUCAGAAAGUACUUCAUUCAGUUGACACAUAAAUUUGAUUGAUUAUCUUUUCCAAUGUUUACUUGACCAUUGUUAAACUUACCAAAAUUAUAAUCUGUGGAGGAGCUGGAUGUUUACCUGGGGCCUAACCAAAAUAGGAAUGUAUCUAUUCUGUCCUUUUUCCCCCCAUUUAUGUCAUGUUUCUAGUUAAUUCCUUCUAGCAAUUGCUUGAUCACAAAAAUUUCAUUUCUCGAUUAUGAUAAUUCAAAGACAUCAAACCUUUUGUGUGAUAUUUGAACCCUUUUAUUUCUCCAGCAUCUCUUUUGUCUUUUUGAUUAGGAAGA